rnacentral:rRNA from 1 species
AGCGGCGGACGGGUGAGUAACACGUGGGCAACCUGCCCAAGAGACUGGGAUAACACCUGGAAACAGAUGCUAAUACCGGAUAACAACACUAGACGCAUGUCUAGAGUUUAAAAGAUGGUUCUGCUAUCACUCUUGGAUGGACCUGCGGUGCAUUAGCUAGUUGGUAAGGUAACGGCUUACCAAGGCAAUGAUGCAUAGCCGAGUUGAGAGACUGAUCGGCCACAUUGGGACUGAGACACGGCCCAAACUCCUACGGGAGGCAGCAGUAGGGAAUCUUCCACAAUGGACGCAAGUCUGAUGGAGCAACGCCGCGUGAGUGAAGAAGGGUUUCGGCUCGUAAAGCUCUGUUGGUAGUGAAGAAAGAUAGAGGUAGUAACUGGCCUUUAUUUGACGGUAAUUACCUAGAAAGUCACGGCUAACUACGUGCCAGCAGCCGCGGUAAUACAUAGGGGGCAAGCGUUAUCCGGAAUUAUUGGGUGUAAAGGGUGCGUAGACGGAGAAACAAGUUGGUUGUGAAAUCCCUCGGCUCAACUGAGGAACUGCAACCAAAACUGGAUAUCUUGAGUGUCGGAGAGGAAAGUGGAAUUCCUAGUGUAGCGGUGAAUGCGUAGAUNUNAGGAGGAACACCAGUGGCGAAGGCAACUUUUUGGACNAUACUGACGUUANGCNCNAAGUGUGGGGAGCAACAGGAUAAAUNCCUGNUA